UACGUAGGGAGCAAGCGUUGUCCGGAAUCAUUGGGCGUAAAGAGCGCGUAGGUGGAUCAAUUAGUCUGCUGUGAAAGUCAAAGGCUCAACCUUUGAAUGCCGGUGGAUACUGUUGAUCUAGAGUACGGAAGAGGCGAGUGGAAUUCCUGGUGUAGCGGUGGAAUGCGCAGAUAUCAGGAGGAACACCAAUAGCGAAGGCAGCUCGCUGGGACGUUACUGACACUGAGGCGCGAAAGCGUGGGGAGCAAAC
rnacentral:rRNA from 1 species